rnacentral:snoRNA from 1 species
AUGACCUUCCAAGUUUUAUUAAGAAUACGAUGAUAUUAUUUGCGUAAUAAGCUAACAAUUCUUCUCGUGGGGUUUCGGCUCUGUGAGGUUUUAAUGGGGAAUGCGGUUCCCGCGCAGCCAACCAAUCUUGUUACAUUUUUUUUAAAAUGAUUUUUUGGGACGCUACAAUAUAAAAUUCUGAUUCUU